CUUAACUAUCCAGUCCAGUCUGUCAGUGUCUCCUAAGCAAGAAGUUCUCUACAGUUUGAGGGUAGGCUUCAUGCCCAUCGUAGGGCCCAACAUGGGCAUGAACUCACAAUCCUGAGAUCAAGACCAAAGCUGAGAUCAAGAUUUGGACACUUAACCAACUGAGCCACUCAGCCACUCUGACAGACCUGUCCAUUGACUGACGAAUGGAUAAAGAAGAUGUGAUUCUACCAGUACUAGUCGGCGAUGAAAAAGAAGGAAAUCUUACCAUUUGCAACAACGUGGAUGGAACUGGAGGGUAUUAUGCUAAGCAAAACAAGUCAGUCAGAGAAAGACAGAUAUCAUAUGAUUUCAUUCACAUGUG